CGUAAAUGCCCCGCUUGUGUAGGAAGAUGAAAAAGCAAGACUACCGACUUUUACACCAUCGGCAUGCUGCAGGGAGGUGUCCAAGAUUUCCACCUCUGUACUUUUAAUUUUUUAAAUACAUAAUAUCGAUAUGCAAAGUAGUAGUAAUAUUUGCCAACAAUCAUAUUGUCGGCAUGUUGCAAAUUUAAAUCCAUCCAGCAAGAUUCACUCUGGUUUGGGAAAUAUUUCCUAAACUACACAGAAAUGAUAAUUUUAUUUUGUUGUCACACAAAUUUAGCAAAAAGCUCACUUUUAGCUAUUUCUUAAUAUAUAAUUUUUGACUAUAAGG
rnacentral:misc_RNA from 1 species